rnacentral:lncRNA from 1 species
AUGAAUCUAACCUCUAUAUACUAAACUUUAUCCCAACCCCACCCCAACCCCUAAAUACUAAAUACUAAAUCUAAAACCAAAAUAAAUAAACUCUAAACCCAAAUAUAAACCAUAAACCCAAAUAUAAACUCUAAACCCUAAUCACUAAACCAUAAACCCACAUAUAAACCCUAAACCUAAAUAGAAUGGAACAAAAUAAAUAGCGUAGUAUAUAUUGAUGAAAUUAUGAACCCUAAACCCUAAUAUAAGCCAUCAACCCAAAUAUAAACUCUAAACACUAAUCACUAAAUUAUAA